UACGUAGGGGGCAAGCGUUGUCCGGAUUUAUUGGGCGUAAAGCGUGUGUAGGCGGCCACACAGGUCCGCUGUGAAAACUCGAGGCUCAACCUCGAGCUGUCGGUGGAAACCGUGUGGCUAGAGUCCGGAAGAGGAGACUGGAAUUCCCGGUGUAGCGGUGGAAUGCGCAGAUAUCAGGAGGAACACCGGUGGCGAAGGCGGCCCCCUGGACCGGAACUGACGCUGAGGCGCGAAAGCGUGGGUAGCAAACGGG
rnacentral:rRNA from 1 species